ACAUGUAAGGGAGUUUUGACUGUGACAUCUGUCGUACUAUUGAUUGCCGGGGUUGACUCAGCUGAUCUGGCUAACUAGGUACAUACCUCCCUUCCUUCUUUACUCUAUGUUUUUCUCUGCUGAGAUUGCACUUGAUUGGAGAGGAUGACCUUCCCCAAAUGGAGACUGACCUUUUUUCUAUGUACAGGAGUAGCUGUGUUCCCUUGCUAAAACUUACUUCAACCAAGGUCUCAAUGUAUUUUGCAUCUAGUGUUCUCACCAUUCAUAGUUUUAAUUAAUAUGUUGCCAAGUUAA
rfam:Erinaceus europaeus unplaced genomic scaffold scaffold00351, whole genome shotgun sequence